rnacentral:lncRNA from 10 species
UAAUAAAGGACUUCUCAUAAUGACUUCUAUUUUCUCAAAAUACAUGAAUUUACAUCAUCACUUGAGAGUAAGAAUUAUGGAGAGCAGGAAUGCAAGGUUUGAAGAGAGUAGAGAAAUUUUAAAAUUUCCAUCUGGAGGAUAGGAGGUAAUCUGCCUGGAGAAGCACUGUCAGAUGUCAGAGCAGUAUUGAGUAUGCACGUGAGUUCUUCAAGAUCAUCGAAAUGUGUUCACAGACAUUGUCUCAGCUGGCUUGGGAUGUGAGGAAAAGCCAUGUAAGGAAGAUAAAUGAGUGGCAUUAGAGCGAAUCUACAGACAAAGAGGCAGAGACUCAGAGUGUUUAAAUUGCUUUUCUGAUGUCACACAGCCCUUAAGAGGAAAAACCAGGAAGAGGGGUUGGUUUCUGUGACUGC